AUUGAACGCUGGCGGCAUGCCUUACACAUGCAAGUCGAACGGUAACGGGCCUUCGGGUGCCGACGAGUGGCGAACGGGUGAGUAAUACAUCAGAACGUGCCCGAUCGUGGGGGAUAACGAGGCGAAAGCUUUGCUAAUACCGCAUACGAUCUACGGAUGAAAGCAGGGGACCGCAAGGCCUUGCGCGGACGGAGCGGCCGAUGGCAGAUUAGGUAGUUGGUGGGAUAAAAGCUUACCAAGCCGACGAUCUGUAGCUGGUCUGAGAGGAUGAUCAGCCACACUGGGACUGAGACACGGCCCAGACUCCUACGGGAGGCAGCAGUGGGGAAUUUUGGACAAUGGGCGCAAGCCUGAUCCAGCCAUGCCGCGUGCAGGAUGAAGGCCUUCGGGUUGUAAACUGCCUUUGUACGGAACGAAAAGCCUUCUUUUAAUACAGGAGGGUCAUGACGGUACCGUAAGAAUAAGCACCGGCUAACUACGUG
rnacentral:rRNA from 1 species